AGAGUUUGAUCCUGGCUCAGGAUGAACGCUAGCUACAGGCUUAACACAUGCAAGUCGAGGGGCAGCAGGACGAUAGCUUGCUAUUGUUGCUGGCGACCGGCGCACGGGUGAGUAACGCGUAUCCAACCUUCCGCAUAGUAGGGAAUAGCCCGGAGAAAUUCGGAUUAAUGCCCUAUGUUCUUCGUCGAGGACAUCUGAAGUGAAGUAAAGGUUUACCGCUAUGCGAUGGGGAUGCGUCUGAUUAGGUGGUAGGCGGGGUAACGGCCCACCUAGCCUACGAUCAGUAGGGGUUCUGAGAGGAAGGUCCCCCACAUUGGAACUGAGACACGGUCCAAACUCCUACGGGAGGCAGCAGUGAGGAAUAUUGGUCAAUGGGCGAGAGCCUGAACCAGCCAAGUAGCGUGCAGGAUGACGGCCCUAUGGGUUGUAAACUGCUUUUAUGCGGGGAUAAAGUGGCGUACGUGUACGCUAUUGUAGGUACCGCAUGAAUAAGGACCGGCUAAUUCCGUGCCAGCAGCCGCGGUAAUACGGAAGGUCCGGGCGUUAUCCGGAUUUAUUGGGUUUAAAGGGAGCGCAGGCUGACCAGUAAGCGUGACGUGAAAUGUAGCCGCUCAACGGCUGAACUGCGUCGCGAACUGUUGGUCUUGAGUGAGUUCGACGUCAGCGGAAUUCGUGGUGUAGCGGUGAAAUGCUUAGAUAUCACGAAGAACCCCGAUUGCGCAGGCAGCUGACGAGGCCUUAACUGACGCUAAAGCUCGAAGGUGCGGGUAUCGAACAGGAUUAGAUACCCUGGUAGUCCGCACGGUAAACGAUGGAUGCCCGCUGUUGGCGAUACAAUGUCAGCGGCCAAGAGAAAUCGUUAAGCAUCCCACCUGGGGAGUACGCCGGCAACGGUGAAACUCAAAGGAAUUGACGG
rnacentral:rRNA from 1 species